GACGAACGCUGGCGGCGUGCUUAACACAUGCAAGUCGAACGGAAAGGCCCUGCUUUUGUGGGGUGCUCGAGUGGCGAACGGGUGAGUAACACGUGAGUAACCUGCCCUUGACUUUGGGAUAACUUCAGGAAACUGGGGCUAAUACCGGAUAGGAGCUCCUGCUGCAUGGUGGGGGUUGGAAAGUUUCGGCGGUUGGGGAUGGACUCGCGGCUUAUCAGCUUGUUGGUGGGGUAGUGGCUUACCAAGGCUUUGACGGGUAGCCGGCCUGGGAGGGUGACCGGCCACAUUGGGACUGAGAUACGGACCAGACUCCUACGGGAGGCAGCAGUGGGGAAUAUUGCACAAUGGGCGGAAGCGUGAUGCAGCAACGCCGCGUGCGGGAUGCCGGCCUUCGGGUGGGAAACCGCUGUCGCCUGUGACGAAGCGUGAGUGACGGUAAUGGGUAAAGAAGCACCGGCUAACUACGUG
rnacentral:rRNA from 1 species